CCCGCUGAACUUAAGCAUAUCAAUAAGCGGAGGAAAAGAAACUAACAAGGAUUCCCCUAGUAACUGCGAGUGAAGCGGGAAGAGCUCAAAUUUGAAAUCUGGCAGUUGUUGACUGUCCGAGUUGUAAUCUAGAGAAGUGUUACCAGUGCAGGACCGUGUACAAGUCUCCUGGAAUGGGGCAUCAUAGAGGGUGAGAAUCCCGUCUUUGGCACGGACUACCUGUACAUCAUGGUGCGCUCUCAACGAGUCGUGUUGUUUGGGAAUGCAGCACUAAAUGGGUGGUAAAUUCCAUCUAAAGCUAAAUAUUGGCGAGAGACCGAUAGCGAACAAGUACCGUGAGGGAAAGAUGAAAAGAACUUUGAAAAGAGAGUUAAACAGUACGUGAAAUUGUUGAAAGGGAAACGCUUGAAGUCAGUCGUGUCUUUCAGGGAUCAAGUUGCCCUUUGGGUGACCGCACUUCCUGUUGGAUGGGUCAGCAUCAAUUUUGAUCACUGGAUAAAGGCUUAGGGAAUGUGGCAUCUUCGGAUGUGUUAUAGACCUGGGUUGGAUACAAUGAUUGGGAUUGAGGAACUCAGUGCUUGCACUCAGGAUGCUGGCAUAAUGGCUUUAAUCGACCCGUCUUGAAACACGG
rnacentral:rRNA from 1 species